CGGGGAAUAUUGGGCAAUGGGGGAAACCCUGACCCAGCGACGCCGCGUGAGGGAAGACGGCCUUCGGGUUGUAAACCUCUUUUGUACGGGAAGAAGGACGUGACGGUACCGUGCGAAUAAGUCCCGGCUAACUACGUGCCAGCAGCCGCGGUAAUACGUAGGGGACGAGCGUUGUCCGGAAUUACUGGGCGUAAAGGGCGCGCAGGCUGUAGAUCAAGUCAGCUGUGAAAUGUCUGGGCUUAACCCGGGCAUGCGGUUGAAACUGAUGUACUGGAGUGCUGUAGAGGCAAGUGGAAUUCCCAGUGUAGCGGUGAAAUGCGUAGAUAUUGGGAAGAACACCGGUGGCGAAGGCGACUUGCUGGGCAGCAACUGACGCUGAGGCGCGAAAGCCAGGGGAGCAAACGG
rnacentral:rRNA from 1 species